GAGAGUCCGUCACUCAGAGACAGAGCGAGAGCCGUGGAGUAGAUCUCGCGACCUGCCGCCCCCCGGCUGUGCUCGUCCUGGGGCUGGAGCAUCCUGCCGGCCGCCGGCGACCUCCUCGUCGGUGAGUACGUGCAGAAGCCCGGAGAGGCGCCUGCAGUUGCAGGGGCCAAAGGCUGGAUCUCGCAGAAUCGUGAGGUACUUGGGCAUGGGAUGGGAAUCACAAUUGUUGUGGAGGAAAUGAAGAAUAUCUUGUUAUUUGCCACCUACCAUCGAUGUUCUUUUAGAUUGAACAUUGCCAUGAGCUUUUCUCUACGCAAUGAAUAUAUUAGAUCAAGCAUCAUAUCAUGGACACCAUAAGACUUUUCUGCCUUUAUAGUGAUGUCUACAGAUUGGAUCCUGCUUCUGUUUAUGAGCUCAUUGAAGUAACUCUCCUAGCUCAAAUGGGUCAAUUUCACGUUUGCAUGAUACACAAAUCUUCAGCUAUCCAUCUCAACAUCUCCAUGUGGAUUGGUCUCGCUUAAUUUUAUAAUCUUCUGGAUAUAUGCUUACAUAUAAUAAUUGAUGUGAAGGUAGAUCAUAGAACAACAACAUAAUCUUUAGUCUUAAACAAAUUAUGGUAGACUAGAGAUAGAACACAAUAGGAACCACACACACACCAACGGUAUAGAAAGUAGCAAAGAAAUAGUAAAAGAAGUUCUUGACUUGUAGAUUAUCUCAAAGUGAUAAUGCAGAGUCAACCUUCUUUUACUACUAGUUUUGAUCUACCUUGUCAUCUGUAGGAUAAGUUAUUAUAUCUAAGCAUGUGUUUAGAAGAUUAGAAGAUUAAGCAAGGUCACUAGAUAUGUAAAUAGAUAGUUGAAUGAUUUGUUUAUCAUGAGAAGUAAGAGGUUAACCUAUUUGAGCUUGGUGAUAGAGUUAUUUGAUGAGAUCAUAAAUAGAAGCAUGAUUCAACUAAUAGACAUCAAUGUUGAUGAAGGCGUGGAAAAAUCUUAUCGUAUACAUGAUAUGAUGAUUGAUCCCAUAUGUUUUUACGAAGUGAAGAAAACUACUUCCAUGGCACUGAGUGAAAGCGAUCUAUCCAAAGGCAAGAUUUGAAGAUUAUCCAUCCGAAAGAGCAAGGCAUAUGUAACCACGAUCAACAGCAGCUCUCUUGUGAUAUCCAUGUGCUAUUGUCGAUUCGAUGUCGCUUAUGCUGAGCAUCCAUGUUCUACAUGGUUAAAUUUAGGUAUGUGACCAGCAUCAACAACUAUGAAAUUGUUGAUUCAGUGUCUCUUAUCGAACGGCAAGAUUUGAAGAUUAUCCAUCUGAAAGAGCAUAGCAGAUAUGACCGGCAGCAGCAGCAGCCGCAAGGUCACACGCGACGUGUGCUCUCUUGCAAUAUCCAUGUGCUAUUGUCGAUCCAGUGUCACUUAUGAUGACAGUUCAUGUUCUACAUGUGUUAGAUUUAGAAUAUUGUGUUGAAUGCUUCUGUUCUUGCCGAUUGAGAUGACGAGACUCAUGAACACUCCAUUUGCCCUGAUGUUUUGAUUUAUCUUCUGCAACGACAUGAAGCUCUCAUUGUAAUUGUACCCACUUCUGUCGGAUUCAAGAACCACCAAGUUUCUGUGGCGCCU